rnacentral:rRNA from 1 species
UACGUAAGGACCGAGCGUUGUCCGGAAUCAUUGGGCGUAAAGGGUACGUAGGCGGUUAGAAAAGUUAGAAGUGAAAGGCUAUAGCUCAACUAUAGUAAGCUUUUAAAACUGUUUAACUUGAGAGAUGGAAGGGAAAGUGGAAUUCCUAGUGUAGCGGUGAAAUGCGCAGAUAUUAGGAGGAAUACCGGUGGCGAAGGCGACUUUCUGGCCAUUAUCUGACGCUGAGGUACGAAAGCGUGGGUAGCAAACA